GAUGAACGCUGGCGGCGUGCCUAAUACAUGCAAGUCGAGCGAACGGACGAGAAGCUUGCUUCUCUGAUGUUAGCGGCGGACGGGUGAGUAACACGUGGAUAACCUACCUAUAAGACUGGGAUAACUUCGGGAAACCGUAGCUAAUACCGGAUAAUAUUUUGAACCGCAUGGUUCAAAAGUGAAAGACGGUCUUGCUGUCACUUAUAGAUGGAUCCGCGCUGCAUUAGCUAGUUGGUAAGGUAACGGCUUACCAAGGCAACGAUGCAUAGCCGACCUGAGAGGGGGAUCGGCCACACUGGAACUGAGACACGGUCCAGACUCCUAAGGGAGGCAGCAGUAGGGAAGCUUACGCAAUGGGCGAAAGCCUGACGGAGCAACGCCGAGUGAGUGAUGAAGGUCUUCGGAUCGUAAAACUCUGUUAUUAGGGAAGAACAUAUGUGUAAGUAACUGUGCACAGCUUGACGGUAACUAAUCAGAAAGCCACGGCUAACUACGUG
rnacentral:rRNA from 1 species